AGUGAACGCUGGCGGUAGGCCUAACACAUGCAAGUCGAACGGCAGCACAGUAAGAGCUUGCUCUUACGGGUGGCGAGUGGCGGACGGGUGAGGAAUACAUCGGAAUCUACUUUUUCGUGGGGGAUAACGUAGGGAAACUUACGCUAAUACCGCGUACGACCUACGGGUGAAAGCAGGGGAUCUUCGGACCUUGCGCGAUUGAAUGAGCCGAUGUCGGAUUAGCUAGUUGGCGGGGUAAAGGCCCACCAAGGCGACGAUCCGUAGCUGGUCUGAGAGGAUGAUCAGCCACACUGGAACUGAGACACGGUCCAGACUCCUACGGGAGGCAGCAGUGGGGAAUAUUGGACAAUGGGCGCAAGCCUGAUCCAGCCAUACCGCGUGGGUGAAGAAGGCCUUCGGGUUGUAAAGCCCUUUUGUUGGGAAAGAAAAGCAGCAGGUUAAUACCCCGCUGUUCUGACGGUACCAAAAGAAUAAGCACCGGCUAACUUCGUG
rnacentral:rRNA from 1 species